UCGCCACAUCCGGCUCUGCCUCUGGCGCCUGCGCCCUGUGCCCGGGAGGCCGGUGACGUCCGGGGAAAUCGAAGAUGGCGGCGCUAGGCUGACCCUCCUGCGGGUGACGGAAGCGCCGUCUCCUACCGCCUGACGUCCCUGGGGGACCCUGCGCCGCUCCUCGCUGCCGCGGCCAUGUCUGGGCCCGGCAACAAACGCGCCGCCGGCGACGGGGGCUCAGGGCCCCCGGAGAAGAAGCUGAGUCGCGAGGAGAAGACCACAACCACUCUUAUAGAGCCCAUUCGUCUUGGAGGCAUCUCUUCCACGGAAGAGAUGGACCUGAAGGUACUGCAGUUCAAGAAUAAGAAGCUGGCAGAGCGGUUGGAACAGCGACAGGCCUGUGAAGAUGAACUCCGAGAGCGAAUUGAGAAGUUGGAGAAGCGGCAGGCCACAGAUGAUGCCACACUCCUUAUUGUAAAUCGAUACUGGGCCCAGCUGGAUGAAACUGUGGAAGCCCUUCUCCGAUGCCAUGAGAGCCAGGGAGAACUGUCUUCGGGGACAGAGGCGCCUGGGACCCAGGAGGGGCCAGCACGUGAUGGGACCCCUCUCAUAGAGCCAGGGACAUCAGAGCUGAGGGAGCCUCUGCCAAUGCAGCUGCGGCCCCCUCUCAGUGAGCCAGCCUUGGCUUUUGUGGUAGCAUUGGGUGCCAGCAGCAGUGAGGAGGUGGAGCUGCAGCUGCAAGGCCGUAUGGAGUUCUCCAAGGCAGCUGUGUCCCGUGUGGUAGAGGCCUCAGACCGCCUACAGCGCCGCGUGGAGGAACUCUGUCAGCGAGUAUACAGUCGAGGGGAAAAUGAGCCCCUUGGUGAGGUGGCUCGGGCACGCACCCGAGAGCUGGGCCGUGAGAACCGGCGGCUACAGGACUUGGCCACCCAGCUGCAGGAGAAGCAUCACCGCAUCUCCUUGGAGUACUCCGAGCUCCAGGAUAAAGUGACAUCAGCAGAGACCAAGGUGCUGGAGAUGGAGACGACAGUGGAGGACCUGCAGUGGGACAUUGAGAAGCUGCGCAAGCGGGAGCAAAAGCUCAAUAAGCACCUGGCAGAAGCCUUGGAGCAGCUUAACUCUGGCUACUAUGUCUCUGGGAGCUCCUCCGGCUUCCAGGGGGGCCAGAUCACACUCAGCAUGCAGAAGUUUGAGAUGCUGAAUGCAGAGUUGGAGGAAAACCAGGAAUUGGCCAACAGCCGCAUGGCAGAACUGGAGAAGCUGCAGGCUGAACUUCAGGGUGCUGUGCGGACCAAUGAGCAUCUCAAGGUGGCUCUGCGGAGCCUUCCUGAGGAGGUGGUGCGGGAGACGGGGGAGUACCGCAUGCUGCAGGCCCAGUUCUCGCUGCUCUACAAUGAGUCUCUGCAAGUGAAGACCCAGCUGGAUGAGGCUCGGGGGCUACUGUUGGCCACCAAGAACUCCCACCUGAGACACAUUGAGCACAUGGAGAGUGACGAGCUAGGGCUGCAGAAGAAGCUGCGCACAGAGGUCAUCCAGCUGGAGGACACGCUGGCCCAGGUACGCAAGGAGUACGAGAUGCUGCGCAUCGAGUUUGAGCAGAACCUGGCAGCCAACGAGCAGGCGGGGCCCAUAAACCGUGAGAUGCGCCACCUGAUUAGUAGUCUCCAAAACCACAACCACCAGCUGAAGGGGGAUGCCCAGCGAUAUAAGCGGAAGCUUCGAGAAGUGCAGGCUGAGAUUGGCAAGCUCCGAGCCCAGGCUAGUGGCUCUGCCCACUCCAUCCCCAACCUGGGACACCCAGAAGACUCUGGCCUCAGUGCCUCAGCCCCAGGGAAAGAGGAGGGUGGGCCAUGCCCUGUUGGUACCCCCGAAAGCAGAAAGGAGGUGGCUUCAAUGCCUGGCACCACCACUACUCCUUCCUCAGUGAAGAAGGAGGAGCUGGUCCCCUCCGAAGAGGAUGGGGCAUUAACCCCUGGGGCCCAGGGCCCUUCCUCCCGGGGCCGAGAACCUGAAGCCAGGCCGAAGCGGGAGCUUCGGGAACGAGAAGGACCUGGCCUGGGACCCCCACCUGUAGCCUCAACUCUCUCAAGGGCUGAUCGGGAGAAGGCCAAGGUGGAAGAGGUCAAGAGGAAGGAGUCAGAACUCCUCAAGGGUCUCCGAGCAGAGCUCAAGAAGGCCCAGGAAAGCCAGAAGGAGAUGAAGCUCCUGCUGGAUAUGUACAAGUCAGCGCCCAAGGAACAGCGGGAUAAGGUGCAGCUCAUGGCAGCAGAACGCAAGGCCAAGGCUGAGGUUGAUGAGCUACGAAGCCGAAUCCGGGAAUUGGAGGAGAGGGAUCGAAGGGAGAGCAAGAAGAUUGCAGAUGAGGAUGCCCUGCGGCGCAUUCGUCAGGCAGAGGAGCAGAUAGAACACCUACAGCGCAAGUUGGGUGCCACCAAGCAGGAGGAGGAGGCUUUGCUGUCGGAGAUGGAUGUCACAGGUCAGGCUUUUGAGGACAUGCAGGAGCAAAACGGGCGGCUGCUGCAGCAGUUGCGGGAAAAAGAUGAUGCCAACUUUAAGCUGAUGUCAGAGCGGAUCAAGGCCAACCAGAUUCACAAGCUACUGCGGGAGGAGAAGGAUGAGCUGGGCGAGCAGGUUCUUGGCCUCAAGUCCCAGGUGGAUGCCCAGCUGCUGACCGUGCAGAAGCUGGAGGAAAAAGAGCGGGCCUUGCAGGGCAGCCUCGGGGGUGUGGAGAAGGAGCUGACGCUGCGCAGCCAAGCCCUGGAGCUCAACAAGAGGAAGGCUGUUGAAGCAGCCCAGCUGGCCGAGGACCUGAAGGUACAGCUGGAGCAUGUGCAGACUCGACUACGAGAGAUUCAGCCCUGCCUAGCAGAGAGUCGGGCUGCUCGUGAAAAAGAGAGCUUCAACCUCAAGAGGGCUCAGGAGGACAUCUCACGGCUGCGGCGCAAGCUGGAGAAGCAGAGGAAGGUGGAGGUUUAUGCAGAUGCUGAUGAAAUCCUCCAGGAGGAGAUCAAGGAGUACAAGGUUUCUGGCUGAAGAGGAGAGAGGAGCCCAGUGGGUGGAAUCCAGCCCUUCCCAAGGCCAAGAUUGGGCGGUGUCAUCCAACCUCAGAGGGCUCCAGGACACAUGGACCAACCUGGAGAGGUACCAGAUCACCCCUGGGAACAAGUGCUCUCCUGUAGCCUCAGGCUGGGAAAGGAGGUGAAGACCGAGGGAGGGAAGUAUUAUAUUGUCACACUAGUUAAAACACAUAAACAAACCCGGUAACCUUUCAAAACACUUGAAGCCUGAGUCCACCACUGGCGUAACACAAAGAACCUAAAUUGUGCCUGUAAAACAGUGAGGUCCAAACUCCCAGAGGGCCUGGCCCUAUGGAAAACCAGCCUUUCUGCCCCCUGCACAAGGUUCUCGCAUUCUCACAUGGUACCACAGCAGUCUACACCGCCCCACCCCUGUCACAGCGAGGACCAUCCUGCUUCUGGGCCUUUAACUGAGCCAUGCCUCCCUCUACCUCCUCUAGAGCACUUCCUCUUCUGCUCUCUGCUUAGGCAAGUCUUGUUUGUCUUUCAAGGUCCUGCUCAAAUGCCAGCCAACUUAAGUCUAGGCCCUGGUAUUCACUCACAUUGUAUAAAUGUUUUACAGCUUAUAAUGUACUUCCAUACAUAUUAAGGCACUUGUUUCUCUUGGCACCUCCAAGAGGCCAGUAGUAUCAUCCUCUUUUGACUCAUGAGGAAAUAGGACUUCAGACAGGUCAGAUAACACGUCUGAGGUCACAGAGCAACUGUAAAACCUUAGGCUCUGGGGGUCUUGGAUUUUUUGAUUCCAGGUCUGGGGCUUUCCCUGCCUUCAAAAUCCAGCUGAGUCCUACUUCUUCCAUGAAGCCUUCCCUGACUACAGAGUCUCCUAGAUAACCGUUCUCAUCUUUGCCAUGGUCUGACUGCAGGAUUCCCAAGUCUUACUCACCAUCUUUGCCACAUCUGGGUACAUUCUGUGCUGUUAUUUAUUUGACAUUUUUCUUCAUUUGGACUCAUUUUUCUCAACUGAGAGAAACAUAUCUAAGAAGGAAACUCAAUAUCAGUAUGAUAAACAGAAAAUUGCUCGUUAUAAAUGAUGAUUAUAAAAAUAAGUACAAUGCUAAAUUAACUUAAAAUUGAUUUAAGACCUAAAUUUAAGACUUAAAACUAUACAAUUUUAGGAUAAAACAUAGGGGUAAAUCUUUAUGACCUUAGAUUUGGAAAUGGUUCCUUAGAUAUGAUACAAAAACAAGCAACUGAAGAAAAAAGUAGAUAAACUAGACUUCAUCAAAAUUAAACAAUUUUGUAUAUUAAGGGAAAUUAUCAAGAAAGUGACAAGUCAACCCAAGAAUGGGAGGAAAUAUUAGCAAACCACAUAUCUGACCAGGGUCUGGGAUCCUGACUGUAUAAAGAACUCUUAAACAGAACAACAGAAAGACAACUCAAUUAACAACAGGCAAAGGAUGUGAAUGGACAUUUCUCCAAAGAAGAUAUACGAAGAAGAUAUGGAGACCUAUGUCCACACAAAAACUUGUUCAUGCAGAUUGCUGCCAGCACCAUUCCCAAUAGCCAAAAGGUGGAAACCACCCAAAUGUCCAUCAGUGGAUAAACAAAUUAUGGUAUCUCCUGUAUUCUUU